UGGAGUUUUAAGAUAGUAUGUUAGUCUUAUAACAAGUUUAUAUUUUAACCAUUCUCAUAGUUAAUAUAGGCUUAACUUUAGUUAGUAAAGUUACUGUGGUUUCUGGCACCAUAGUAAUACAGGGAGGUACAUUUGACUUCAUCCAAGUUAUCUGUUGAGACAAAUCAGGUAAAGCAAAGGACAAUAGUUUAGACCCAUCCUUACCUGUGUUCUCUGCCAUAGGCCUCUGCAUGCUCAUAAGCAGCGAAAAAUUACAACAUAAACAAGGAGAGCCAGCAGUUUAAACAGGAUGGAAACUAGGAAACCAAAUUGACUAUUCCAU
rnacentral:lncRNA from 1 species